GUUCAAAGUAAACGGGUGGGCCCUCGAAAUCCUGUGGCGGGAGGAUUCAGUCUGUAGUUGGGUCGCUCGGGUCGGAAACGAAGGAAGGGCUUCCCUGAAUCGGGGCCGUCCGACCGAGAGCUUCGCCUAAGGACAGACGCAUUUGGCUCCCGCCCCGAGGACGCCGCAGCCGGUCCGGAAGUGCAAACGUGACGGCCUGAGAGGCGGGGGAUGGCAGGUGGCCGGUGGCACCCUCCACGGGAGUCGCCGGUUGUUAGCCGCCCCGCCGGUGGCGCGUCUCCGGACCGUGGUCUUGGAGCGAAAACUCCGCUCCGUCUCCGCCUAAGGCUUCGGGACUGGCCGGUCGCGAGCGAAGGCAGCCGCCCGGCCGCACUAACUAACAGAGUGGGCCGGUGGAACUCAGUCGGCGCCGGCGGCGACCGCGGACCCGUUGGAGGCAAGGAGGUUUGCGGGGAGUAGGUCGGUCACCCACCCGACCCGUCUUGAAACACGGACCAAGGAGUCUAACAUGUGCGCGAGUCAAUGGGUCUUGAACAAGCCCAGAGGCGCAAUGAAAGCGAAGGAGGUGCCCUCACGCCCUCCGAGUCGGGAUCCCCGUGGGGACACGGGGCGCACCGACGACCCGCCCCGUCGCGGCUUGCCGCUGGGGCGGAGUGUGAGCGUACACGUUGGGACCCGAAAGAUGGUGAACUAUGCCCGGCCAGGACGAGGCCAGAGGAAACUCUGGUGGAGGUCCGCAGC
rnacentral:rRNA from 1 species